AACGAACGCUGGCGGCGGGGCUUAGGCAUGCAAGUCGAGCGAGAAAGCCGCAAGGCAAGUACAGCGGCGUAAGGGUGAGUAAUAGGUAGUCAACGUACCCUUGAGACGCGAAUAGUUUCCCGAAAGGGAUUGUAAUGCGCGAUGAGACCACGCCUCCUUCGGGGGGAGCGGUCAAAGGUCAGGGAUCCUUCGGGACCUGGCGCUCAU
rnacentral:rRNA from 1 species